rnacentral:misc_RNA from 1 species
CAACCCUCAAGCACUGCUUGGUGUUGGGGUCCGGCGAGGUCGUCUUCCGACGCGCCGCCCCCGAAAUGAAUUGGCGGCCCCGUUGCGGCCCUUCCUUUUGCGUAGUAGCACACCUCGCAUCGGGAGCCCGACGGCGGCCACUGCCGUAAAACGCCCAACUUUCUCAGA